UACGUUGGCGGGCGGAGCGCCUUCCUACACCUCAAAAGGUCUUCUUGGGCGGAGGAGGUGCCGUGUGAAGGGAUUGUAUCAGGCUGUCUGCACCUUGGGGCUUUUCCGUGUUGAAGCCAUGGUAUCCCUGUUCCUUGAAGAAACAGCUGAGGCGGGGAGCGGCAGCAGGCGGAGCGGUUACUGUGACGGGAAACUGUUGGUGUAACACCCCAAGCGCCUAAUGACUGGGUUAUAUUUAGAAUCAGUUUGGAAUCCAGAUUAAACAAAGAUGUUUUGCCAUUGGUUGACAGUAAGGAGGUUAUAUUUCAAGAAACUACAAUUGCAGGCAAGAGCAUUAUCUGGGGCUGAUGCUAUAAAUGCUCUGCGACCAUUCUAUUUUGCAGUACAUCCAGAUUUUUUUGGUCAGCAUCCCAGAGAAAGGGAAAUCAAUGAAAAUUCUCUGAAAAGAUUAAAUGGGUAUUUGGAGAAUCUCCAGAAACCAGGCUUCAGGUCAUUUAAACCAACUCGACUCACUUUUUAUGUACGAGAGAGAGAACAAAGCCCUUCCAGUGUCCAAGAAUCAUUUGGUGCUGCAGGAUUUCGAGCAGUGAGUUUUACUUUGCAUACCAGAGACUUGUUAAGCACAGUAUUAGAUAUCUUGAACUCCUGCAGUUUAUCUACGGAUCAUGUCCAAAGCUUGAACAGCAGUGUAAAUACUCAGGAAACCAAAAGAAUGUUUCACAGGCCUAUUAAAUGGGACAAGACAUACUAUUCUUUUACUGGAUUCAAGGAUCCUGAGGAAGAACUGGAGCAAGCCCAGAGGAUGGAAACCACCCUGAGCUCCUGGUUAGAUAAUAAUGAAAAAAGUGCCACAAAGAAGCUGGAGGACAGCUUACCACUCAGAAAAGAAUUAGAUCGUUUGAAAAACGAACUGUGUCAGCAGUUGCAGCUCUCUGAUAUUAGGUGGCAGAGGAGUUGGGGUAUUGCUCAUCGAUGUAGCCAGUUACAUAGCCUAAGUCGCUUAGUGCACCAGAAUCCAGAAGCACCUAAGAAUGCUAAAGGACAAACAGUGAUAUUUACAGACCGCUCAGGAAUGAAUGCAACAGGCUAUGUUAUGCUAGGAACAAUGGAUGUUCAUCACCAUUGGACCAAAAUUUUUGAGAGGUUACCAAGUUACUCUACACUGCAAAAAAAAGUGCUAUUUCUAGAGGAGCGCAUUAGCCAACUUUUGGGAGGCAUACAAAUAACUUAUGUUGAAGAGCUUCAGCCAAUGUUGACAAUUGAAGAGUAUUACUCUAUUCUUGACAACUUUUAUGAUCAAGUGCAUAAUAAGAGACUUCCAUUUCACCCUAAUAGUCUGCGUGGAUUGCAAAUGAUUCUAGAAAGUGACAGAUAUGCACCAAGUCUUCAUGAACUUGGUCACUUCAUCAUCCCAGUAGUGUGUGAUCUAGUAACUCUCCAGUGGUUUAUCAUGGACAAAAAUCAACAAGCAAGAGAAAAACUGAAAAUAAAAGAAGAGUCCAUACUACUAGAAAAGAAGCUGAUCAAGGCUGCCACAGAAAAAUUUUGUCUUCGACAGCUAUAUAAAGAACCCAGUGUUUCCAGUGCACAGAUGAUUCAUUCAUGCAGCAAUCUAUUAGAAGAAUCAUUGCCAUAUUUGCAAGAACAGUGAAAUAUCCUGCCGAUUUUAAAAUAUUGGACUAAAAGAUGAUUCUGAAGACCAAAAAUAAGAGUUCAGGUGUGAAAAGCAAACUUUACAUUGGUAUGGAAAGAUGGAUAGAGGGAUGACAUAUAAUAUCAAUGAUCACCAAGCAAAUUCUGGAAUAAAACAUCCUGGAAAAGAAUCUGGUUGGCUUAUUCUUUCCUGCAAAGUUUUACUGCUUGUCUCAUUUGUUGCAUGAAUAAAGGACAAAAAAGACAAAAAGAAGUGGUUCUGCUCAGCAAAAUUAUUUAUGGCAGUUAUCUCUAGGAUUGUUAAGGAAGUGAACAAUAAAUAUACACUGUGUUGCAGUUUCAAUAUGUGUAAUGUGUAAAGCAGUGUGAAUGUUUCUCAUGUUUUUAUUUUCAACUUAAAUCUUUUAAACAGUCCUUUGCAUUUUCUUAGGUAUACACAUUUCAAAAUCUAAAAUAAACUGAAUAUGCUUUGCUGAAUUUAUUAAGAAAAAGGGAUAAAAUUAUGCCAGUCUGAGAUUGUAAAGGAUAAGUUACUUAAAAAAAUAGAAGUCUAGCAGAGAUUUUUGAAUAGUGGGGAAACAAAAACCUAAGUAAGUUCACAGCUGAGAACUAAAGAUCACUGUAAAUAUUAAAAAUGAAGCACUUGGCUGAAAUGAAACAUUCAGAUAUCUUAAAUAAUGUAAAUAAAAAUAAAUUGUUGGACAAACUUCUCUACAGCAAACAUUUCAUAAUGAAGGUGUAUGUUGAUAUAAGGUGACUCACAAUAUAAUAAAUUAAAAAACGAACAGUCACAAGUCAUGAAUUUAUGAUCUAUUCUCUCAUGAAGACAAGCUUUGAUUUCACAGUCUGUGAGUUGAGUUUCUUUAGGUUUCUAACCAGGUACAGCUUUUCAGUCAAAAUGUGAGCCUGGAAAUUAAUUACAAGUUUAUAAAAAGGAAAACAAAUAUUAUUAUAUAUCCAUGUUUGUUCCAUAUAAGAUCUGUUGUAUUUUGCACUAUCUUAAAUUUCUGGAUUGUUUUCAAAAGAGCCUGCUCAGCUCGUGAUGAUGGGGUAGUAAUCCAUUUAAUUAGAAAGGCCAAGUAGAAGACUACAGUGAAGUAAUCUAUAUUACUUCCCAAAGACUGUUUCCUGGACAUCAUCAAGUCCUAAGAAGCAAAGUUGCACUGAAGAAGCAGAAAGGCAGCUUGAAACAUGUUUGGAGUAUAAUGAAUUACAGCAUUUUCUGAGCGGUCUGCACAAACACUUCUUGACCAAAAAUAUCUAGUUAAAAUAUAUCUAUAUUUAAUGCAUAAACAAUCCAUUCUGGAAAAUUUAGUUCUAUACAACAACUCAUUAAAGUAUUACUUAAAAUAAAUCUGAUUACUAAUUUUACAAAACUCUUUUUAGGGAUCUGCAAUCACAUGGUUGGAUCAUAAGAUGAGAAAUAGAAAAUCUUGUUUUUAGAGCCAAAAGGUAGUAAAGAAAAAAAUCUGCAGUUAAAAUUUCUGGUGCUUCUAAAUCCAAUAUUCCAAUCAUUGAGAUGUGAUCUUUCCCCAAAAGUUUGUAUUUUUACUGUCACAGCAUUUCAGUUUUUAUUCUGGCUCCACUGAAUGAACAAUCACUUCUGUAUACUUCAUAGAAAUAAAAUAAUUGCAUAUGACUUAUUUUCUAACAUAGUGCAUGAAAGCCAUAGUUUGAAAAUAGUCAGUGAAUAGUAAACUACACAUAUUGUAAUUUAAAAGUUUUACUCUAAAACUAUAAAUAUCAGCACAUUUUUAUUAAGUUGCGCUGUUCUCAAUGGUGCUUAUUCCUUUGUAAGUAUGUUUAGGAGUGCAUCGUAAUCAGCUUUGCUGAUAUUUGUUGUUAUAUUACAAGUAUUUUAUGGAAAGCAAAUAUUCUUAAAACUGCAUUCAACAUAAUUAUUUCCUGCAUUAAAAAGAAAAUUUGGUAAAACAUAAAUGAUCCCCAAAAAUCAGUAGGGCUGGGCUUCAAUGUUUAUCAGAUCAAUUAUUUUCUAAUUGAACUGCAGCUUAUGAAGUUACUUUAAAUACAAGUGUUUAAAAAUAAUUGGAUCCAGAAUUCAGAUCUGUUCUAUGGAGUAACAUUGAAUCCAAUAAUUCACAUAAAUCACCAUCUUAAUGAAAUCUUUAUUCUUUGCAUUGAUUGACAUGUGUGGGACUAUCCCUCUUGAGAUCUCUUUAUAAAAAAGUAUGCAGAUUAUUAAUCAGGAAAUGGGUUUUCACUCCCUUCAGGAAGAAUUUAUUCACAAAUUCACAUUGGUUAAUCAGCUGCAUUGGUUAAUCAGCUGCAAAAUCUCAUGGAUCUAAUCGGAGAUAGACCCUAAUUUUUUUAAUUAGGAUUAAGAUUGUGAAUACUUCACUCCAGGAUUUGAUUUAGAAGUACCCUUUAAUAAUGCUACUUAAAGUGGUUUUGUAAUUGUUUAAGGUUCCUGAUCAUUAACCUGGAUGAACUCUUCUUUGAAGAGUAAAUGUUUUAUUCUAAAAAGAAUAAAUAUGUGAACUAAAGUUCAAGACUCU